UACAGAGGGGGCAAGCGUUAUUCGGAAUUAUUGGGCGUAAAGGGCGCUUAGGCGGCUUUGCAAGUGACGGGUGAAAGCCCUCGGCUUAACCGAGGAACUGCCUGUCAGACUGUAAGGCUUGAGACCGGGAGAGGUGAGUGGAAUUCCCAGUGUAGCGGUGAAAUGCGUAGAUAUUGGGAGGAACACCGGUGGCGAAGGCGGCAUCCUGGACCGGCAUUGACGCUGAGGCGCGAAAGCUAGGGGAGCAAACGGG
rnacentral:rRNA from 1 species